rnacentral:misc_RNA from 1 species
UUUCCGUAGGUGAACCUGCGGAAGGAUCAUUAGUGAAUUUUAGGGUGCUCUCGUUUAACACGAGAGGCCUGACCUCCACUUUCCAACCCUGUGCACAUUUUUAGGCGAGAUGGCGAGCGUAAUCUCAACGUCAAACCUUCCCUUUACUAUUAACAUUAGUCAAAGAAUGUAAAAAAAUCAUAACAAAAAAAAACUUUCAACAACGGAUCUCUUGGCUCUC